rnacentral:rRNA from 1 species
CUCUGUGACUCCUACGGGAGGCAGCAGUGGGGAAUAUUGCACAAUGGGCGCAAGCCUGAUGCAGCAACGCCGUGUGAGUGAAGAAGGUUUUCGGAUCGUAAAACUCUGUCCUAAGGGAAGAAACAAAUGACGGUACUUGAGGAGGAAGCCCCGGCUAACUACGUGCCAGCAGCCGCGGUAAUACGUAGGGGGCAAGCGUUAUCCGGAAUCACUGGGCGUAAAGGGUGCGUAGGCGGUUUUUCAAGUCAGAAGUGAAAGGCUAUGGCUCAACCAUAGUAAGCUUUUGAAACUGUUAAACUUGAGUGCAGGAGAGGAAAGUGGAAUUCCUAGUGUAGAGGUGAAAUUCGUAGAUAUUAGGAGGAACACCAGUGGCGAAGGCGACUUUCUGGACUGUAACUGACGCUGAGGCACGAAAGCGUGGGGAGCGAACAGGAUUAGAUACCCUGGUAG